rnacentral:rRNA from 1 species
UGCAUAGGAAUCUGCCUGGUAGUGGGGGAUAGCCCGGGGAAACCCGGAUUAAUACCGCAUACGCCCUACGGGGGAAAGGAUGGGAGUCUUCGGACCAUCUGCUAUCAGAUGAGCCUAUGUCGGAUUAGCUAGUUGGUGGGGUAAAGGCUCACCAAGGCGACGAUCCGUAACUGGUCUGAGAGGAUGAUCAGUCACACUGGAACUGAGACACGGUCCAGACUCCUACGGGAGGCAGCAGUGGGGAAUAUUGGGCAAUGGGGGCAACCCUAAUCCAGCCAUGCCGCGUGUAUGAAGAAGGCC